AUGCUAUGGACUAUGGAGAACAAGUCACCCUGUUCAGAUUUUCGAAUUCCUUCAGCGGAGGCAGAACCUCAAACAACAGUGAAAUCUAAACCUCUAGAGACAAAACAUACAGAUAUAAACCCCACAUUUCCAUAUUCAGACACCACAGUUGGACCACUGAUUUCUACAGAGGCUUCUUUUUCUAUGGACCACCAAGCAUCAGUUGAGACAAGAGAGGAAGGAUUUGUCAGCACAUUAAAAUCUAGCCAAACUUUUCUAAAUACUGGGGUAACCACAGAAUCAUCAGUGUCUUUAUGGAAAAGCAGUUCAGCAGAAACUGACACAACUAAAGUGCUUAACAGCACCGACCCAGUGUUAGAUUUCACAGGGGAGCUAAACGAGCAGAUACCAACUAAAUCCGUAUACCUGAGCAUGAGCUAUAUGAAGGGUUUGCUUCCAACAAUGUCCACAUAUGUGACAAAAAAAUUAAACAUGGAGACAGAUGCAACUAUAACCAAUUCCUUGCUAAAUGGUCAGCCAAAAACAUUUGUAGAUUUGUCUCAGACUACAGAAACCACAUUGAUUACAACAGAGGGACCACCUAACUGGACCACAACCAACAGAAUUAGCUCAACACCAGAUAAUACGGUUAACAAAGCUGCACUGUUUACUGCAGCUCCUUCUUACACUGGAAAAUUCAACACUACAUUUAAGUGGAACUCUGAGACAUCACCCCUGUCUUCAGAGAGUGCUACUAAACCACUGUUAGAGUCAAAGAGGGUUGUUAUGACAAAGACUGUUUCUACCAUCACUUUACACACUCAAACUGACUCCCUAAAGCCCCUUCGACUCCAUCAAGAACACACUCCACCGUCCCCAUCUCCUCCUCAACCUGAUAUUAUGGAACACUCAACAGACACUUAUCAGACAGCAUCCAAAUCACACAGCAACAGAGGAUAGUACAGGCUUAUUUUAAAUGAAAUAUUCAAAUAUUCUUCCACAGUAUUUUAGAUUAUUUUACAUGUUAUAAAAACAGGAUUUCUUAAUCUGGCGAUCGCAACCCCAAUGGGGUUCUAACAGUCACUGGGGAUGGCAGGAGUGAUGCAAGCAAAAGGCAUUUUCUCUGCAAAAUAAGCUCAGAAUCAGAUCUGUACAUAAUCCAGAGUUGCCUUUUCACUGAACCUCUUUGACUCAUGCUCAUUAUGGGUCUAUAUGUCCAAGUUUGAUUAAAAAUUUGCUCUUUUCAUGAAGGUAGAACUGAAAGCAGGAAUGCAAAGAUGAUGUCUAGAAACAUCCACUUUCAGAAUCAGUAUUUUGUGCCCUUACACAAAAAAAAAAAGAAAUACAAAACCCAUCUUGCUGUAGAAGAUUAUUUGAAAAUGUUAUUGAGUCAUUUGUGAGACAUUUUGGUUCCUUAAUACAGAUCCAACCAUCAUGUUAUAUGAGUAAACUUUUAUAACUAAAGGUUAAGUUAAAAAGGUUAAAUGUAUUAAAUAGAUAACUAAUAUACUGCAUGCAAUUUUCUAUUUACAAAAUACUAAAUAUUGUAAUCGAAAAGUAUGACUCGUUAUUUCAUUGCCACCAAAUUUGAUCUUUAAGUACCGCUGUUUCAACACAGUUGGCAGGAAAUAGCUUUUAUAAAAAUUAAAAGGAACAGAGAAUGACAUGACCUUUAUGGAUACAAGUAUCUGCUCAUUCAUUGUUCUUCCAAAAUCAAGGGUAUUAAAAACUGUUUAUCUUGCGUUCUACUAGAUUUUGAAUCAUUGAUUUGAUUGUUUUUGUCACAAAAACAGUUAAGGACUGAAAAAGCUUGUUAGUGAAAAGUACAUUUUAAAACCAACAUGCUACAUCCAAGUUCUUCAAAAAUGCAAGAAACGUUUCAGAAUGGACAUUUACUUGGGUAAUUUACAGUGAUGUAUACAUUUUAAAUUGAUACAUUUAAAAUAUAUUAUUUUGGAAUUGCUGUAUAUUGAUCUAAUGGUAAAUAUUUAGAAUAUUGAUCUGAUUGUGACUUCUUAAUGCUUUACAGUUUUCUACAACACUACUAGGCCUGUCCCAAUAAUCAUGCUAUUGAUAUACAGUGUAUCACAAAAGUGAGUACACUCCUCACAUUUCUGCACAUUACUAUUUAAGUAUAUCUUUUCAUGGGACAACACUGACCAAAUGACACUUUGACACAAUGAAAGGUAGUCUGUGCACAGCUUAUAUAACAGUGUACAUUUAUUCUUCCUUCAAAAUAACACAAUAUACAGCACUUGAUAUUCGAGACCUUCCACUUGAGGAUGCCCCAAAGGUGUUCUUUUCUCAUUAUCAAUCCCUCAAUGAAAUGUAACUCCCCAAAACCUGCUGCACUCAUGCAGCCCUAGACCAUGUCAUUCCCACCACCAUGCUUGACUGUAGACAUGACACACUUAUCUUUGUAUUCUUCACCUGAUUGCCGCCACACGUGCUUGAGACCAUCUUAACUAAACAAAUUAAUCUUGGUCUCAUCAGACCAUAGGAUAUUGUUCCAGUAAACCAUGUCCUUUGUUGACAUGUCUUCAGCAAAUUGUUUGCAGUCUUUCUUGUGUACAGACAAUUUGAUGUAGUGUGCGACAUAUGGCCUGAGCACUGACAGGCUGACCCCCCCCACCUCUUCUUUUUUCAAUGUCUUAAUAUUCUAGAAAAUGUAAGGUUUAUUGCUCCUUUAAAUUGUGUAACUGCAUUAUUAUACUAUUAUACUGUAUUGGUGUUACAUAAGUGGCCUAAAAUGAUCUACAAUGUAAAUAAUAUAAUUUAUCACAAUUAUUUCACAAUUUGUAGGCAACGCAUCUUUCUAAAUAAAUAAAUAAUAAAUAAACCA
rnacentral:lncRNA from 1 species